GGGAGACUGGUGAACAGCAUGGUGCCAGAGCAGGUUGUGGGUCUGCACUGGCCUGCCUGGAUAGUGCCUGGGGAGAGGGUGCUGGCUCCUUCCUUCCUGAGCUGACCCCCUUGGAGCCCCAGAGACAUCUGAGGAAUUGGUUCUUGCCAGACACCAGACUGUUCUUCAGUAGCAACCAUAGAUGGAAGAAUGGCUAGAUGGAUGGCACUGCACACCUGACAGGGCUGUCUUUGAGUUCCUUGAAGGCAGGGAGCUACAGAGUCUUGCACAUCCCUCAGAAGCCAUAUGGUACAAGAUCACUGAGCAUACAGAAGGUGUCAGCGCAUGUUUGCUGAAUGAAUGAGUAUAUGAAUGAAUGGACUUCUAACUUCUUGGGUCCCCUUCCUCCUGAGGGUCUCCCUAGCCCAGGCCCUGCUUCCUGUCCACUGCCACUCAGUUCCCAGGCUUCUGCUAGUGGAAUAAGCUCUGGGCAGGUGCACCUCCUGCUGCUGGUGGUGG
rnacentral:lncRNA from 10 species